CGCAUCUGUGCAUGCAGCAUAUCAAUAAGCGGAGGAAAAGAAACUAACAAGGAUUCCCUUAGUAACGGCGAGUGAAGCGGGAAGAGCUCAAAUUUGAAAUCUUCAAGGUUUUACCUUGACGAAUUGUAGUUUAAAGAAGUGUUUUCUGUUGAAGUUUUGGUAAAAGUUCUUUGGAAUAGGACACCAUAGAGGGUGAGAAUCCCGUAUUUGACCAUUAUUUUCAGCUGUGUGAUACACUUUCAAAGAGUCGGAUUGUUUGGGAAUGCAGUCCAAAUGGGUGGUAAAUUUCAUCUAAAGCUAAAUAUUGGCGAGAGACCGAUAGCGAACAAGUACCGUGAGGGAAAGAUGAAAAGAACUUUGAAAAGAGAGUUAAACAGUACGUGAAAUUGUCAAAAGGGAAGCGUUUGACACCAGUGUUGUUUUCUCGAAAAUCAAUUAAAAAGAGUUUGAUUUUGUUGUGUAUUGACCUUAACAGCUUGCAUUUCAAUUUUCUUGCUUUUUUUAAUGCACUUUCGUUUAACAAGUCAACAUCAGUUUCUUUUGUUGUAAAAAGGUCAUUGGAAGGUGGCUUUCUUUUCGGAGAAAGUGUUUAUAGCCUUUGACUCCUGCAAUCGGAGAGACUGAGGUCUGCAGCGUAGAUCCUUCGGGGUUAGAUACAUUUGUGCUAAGUUAUAGCUUUUUAUAGACAACUUGUUGACUAUGAUUAGUCUUGUAGCUUACUCGCUUAUGCUAUUUUACCUACGCUUAGGAUGUUGACACACGCGCGUGCUCG
rnacentral:rRNA from 1 species